AUUUACGCUCUCCGCCUCGGGCCAGGCGGGGUUUCGGGACUAGGGUUUCUGCCGUGUAAUACCUCCUCGAGGCAGAAAAAUUCUACUUUCCAUCUGCUUGGCUGCGGAGGACCUUGGGGUGGGCUCAGCGUGGGGGCUGCAGGCAGAAAUGGGUCCAGAAGGCAAGGUCGAGGUUAGAGCCAAGCCUGUGGGCAGGGCUACGGGCAGGGGGCGGGGAGGAAUGUGGGUCCAGGCCCAGAGGAAAAGGUUGAAGUUAUAGCCAGGCCUGUGGGCGAGGCCGCAGCAGGGCGGCCAUAGGGGAAGGAGCCAAUGUGUUAUGCAUGUAGAAAAUAGAUGGCCUGGAGCAACUGAAGAACCACAAAAGAAGUGAAACAGCCAGUUCCUGCCUUAACUGAUGACGUUCCACCAUUGUGAUUUGUUGCUGCCCCACCCCAACUGAUCUCUUGACCUUGUGACAUUCUUCUUCUGGACGAGUCUCAGGAGUUCCCCACCGAGCACCUUGUGACCCCCGGCCCUGCCAGCAAAAGAUAACCACCUUUAACUUUCCACUACCUACCCAAAUCCUAUAAAACUGCCCCACCCCUAUCUCCCUUUGCUGACCCCUUUCUCGGACUCAGCCCACUUGCACCCAAGUGAAUAAACAGCCUUGUUGCUAACAAAAAAAAAA
rnacentral:lncRNA from 1 species